GCCUGAGAUAGCUCAGUUGGUAGAGUAUAAGACUACAGUAUUAAUCUCAGGGUUGUGGGUUUGAGCCACACAUUGGGCA